rnacentral:lncRNA from 10 species
GCCACGCAUCUGGCCGUCCACUCCUCUGUGUAGGAAGAACAGUGGCCCACGAGACAGGGUUUCGUCAUGUUCACCAGGCUGGUCUUGAACUCCUGUCAGGCCUCUGAGCCCAAGCUAAGCCAUCAUAUCCCCAGUGACCUGCAUGUAUACAUCCAGAUGGCCUGAAGCAACUGAAGAUCCACAAAAGAAGUGAAAACAGCCUUAACUGAUGACAUUCCACCCUUGUAAUUUGUUUCUGCCCCAUCCUAACUGAUCAAUGUACUUUGUAAUCUCCUCUACCCUUAAGAAGGUUCUUUGUAAUUCUCCCCACCCUUGAGAAUGUACCUUAUGAGAUCCACCACCUGCCUGCAAAACAUUGCUCCUAACUCCACCGUCUAUCCCAAAACCUGUAAGAACUAAUGAUAAUCCCAUCGCCCUUUGCUGACUCUCUUUUCCGACUCAGCCGGGCUGCACCCGGGUGAAAUAAACAGCCUUGUUGCUCACACAAAGCCUGUUUGGUGGUCUCUUCACACAGACAUGUGAGACACUAACCUCAGGCCAUCCUCCCACCUCGGCCUCCCAAAGUGCCG